UACGUAGGGGGGCUAGCGUUGUCCGGAUUUAUUGGGCGUAAAGAGCGUGUAGGCGGCCAUGUAGGUCCGGUGUGAAAACUCGAGGCUUAACCUCGAGAUGUCAUCGGAAACCAUUUGGCUAGAGUCCGGAAGAGGAGAGUGGAAUUCCUGGUGUAGCGGUGAAAUGCGUAGAUAUCUGGAGGAACACCGGUGGCGAAGGCGGCGUUCUGGACUGUCUCUGACACUGAAGAACGAAAGCCAGGGGAGCAAACGGGG
rnacentral:rRNA from 1 species